rnacentral:lncRNA from 1 species
UAAAGUGGAAAGGAGGGGAAAUAACUCACAUCAUGAAGCAGGACACCUUCAGCUGCGGGGUCUUUGUAAUGCAGGUUUGAUAGUUAGUUUUUCAAUAUUGAAUGGUUAGCUGUUAUGUGACAAUUAGGUCAAAACUCUAUUUUAUUUUUUGGUGAAGAUGGCCAAGGAAGUUGCACAGGACUUCCCCAACAUCCCCUCCCAAAUUGAUAUAGAACCUUCACAAGAACACAUGGAGCAACUGCGAAAAGAAAUGACUGAGGAUAUACUAAAAAUGUCUGAGUUCAACAAAGCCAACAACUGCUUCAUGUGUGCCACUGAUAAAGAACCUGGAUGUGGCCCAAAGACUGACUGGCAUGUUUCACAUUGUGGACUUUAUAUCUGUGGAGAAGAAGGAGACCGAAGUUGUGCCUUCAUCAUGGGUCCAGGAUGGCAUGAGCUACUGGCCCCCUUAUACAUCCACAGGACGCUGCACAAGGGCAGUGAAACGUCAAGAAGCACCUGACGAAACAUGGGAUUUGUUUGAUGUGAACAUCAGGUUCGCUAGAGACACAUGAAGAUGUUCGCCAUAAGCUUCCUUUUACUGGCUGUGGUCUAAUCUGAUCUUCAGACUGAGGAGGAGGAUGACCGCCAUGCAUAUAUGAAGAGAAAAGGAAGGGGCACAAAUAAGCAAAUAUUCAGUGCCACUGAAAGUGAGGAUGAGGAGCCAAUGGAAAAGUUUUCACGCAAGGGCCAGUCCAACACCUCUAAGGGUUUGCCACCUGCACCAGUUAUCAGACCUCCAGAGCACAGAAGAGAGAUACCUGGAAAUUCUGAUAGGCCAACAAGGCUUGAGCAAAACAUUCAACGGCAGCAGCAGCCAGUGUGUGAUCCAAUUCUUCGUGAGAUCUUAACCUCCAUAGAAAUGAUUAAGCAAAAGCAAAAGCUGAUUUUGCCGCAGCUGCAAAAGCUCCAGGUGAACAGAUCAACCCUGGAUGAGGUUCCAGAUUUGACAGACCUUUGACUUCCAAUGUCCUUGCUGGAAGACUUGAGGAGAGUGGAGGGCCAACAUUCAGAUCAAGACUUAAAAAAGAACCUGACCAUGUAUUUGAGACUGUCUGGAGGGAUGACCACCAAGGAGAAUGUGUGGAGAAUCCUUUCAAAACUCCUUACAAAUGUCCUGGCCAUGAAAAUGAAUUGGAGAGGGGCCAAUGGGAAAUAGGCUUUUGAACCUCUUGCCUUAAAAAGUGUUGUUAUCGGUCCUGUGCGGCGCAGCCAUUCUGAAGUUCCUGAUGUGGAGAUAGAAAAAUACGUAAAACGAUGGAUGCAGCUAGCCCCCGACAGAGAUGGAGGGAGAGAAAGGAGAGAGCGAGUGAGAAGUGACCAGACCUUGGAGGAGUGAUGGAGAAAACCGAAUGCCUAGCAGAGCUUAAAUAGAACGAA